rnacentral:rRNA from 1 species
GGAUUAGAUACCCUGGUAGUCCACGCUGUAAACGAUGAGUACUAGCUGUUGGAUCUGGUGUAAAAGAUUUAGUGGCGCAGCAAACGCGUUAAGUACUCCGCCUGGGGACUACGGCCGCAAGGUUAAAACUCAAAGGAAUUGACGGGGACCCGCACAAGCGGUGGAGCAUGUGGUUUAAUUCGAUGCAACGCGAAGAACCUUACCUACCCUUGACAUCCAUAGAAGAACCGAGAGAUUGGUUUGUGCCUUCGGGAGCUAUGAGACAGGUGCUGCAUGGCUGUCGUCAGCUCGUGUUG